CCCCCUUAUAUGUUUACUUAACCACACAUGCAAACCGCUUUCUGAACACGUACCUCCAGGCUGAGGAAGCCCACUUCGUGUGCCGCCGUGACUCGAGGAUUUCCCCAGGAGGUUGCGCAGCGUCCUGACUGAGGACACGGUGACUGAGCCGGAGCAGCGAGCCAGAAUCAGCACCACGUCGCUCCACCAGCUCACAUCCUCCAGCGGGUAGUACUGCUCCUUAUCUAGGACAGGAAACAUAAGUUUUACAAAUGUGCACCAGGGAAAUGUGGUCAAACUUGUAUUUGACAUUGUUUUGUGCACUUUUGAGAUUCUAUUUUGUGUUCUACAUUAACAUUUUAGAAUUGGCUUCCUUCGCUGAGACAUAUUUACACAUGUGGGCAUAUUCAUCACUUGUCAUCCAUGAGAUGAAGACUCGCACAGAUUAUUGCAUACACAAGCUGUCACUGCUGUCAUUACAACUGGCCCAAAACUGUCAAAAAAAGGGACCGUAAAUCUGCCUAAAGAGGCGUACAAAGCACAGACACACACUCACAAGCUUGGACACUUUGAAGAAGGAAAAUAUUUUCUGGCUUUGGAUGUGUGUCUAAAUAACUGUAUAAUUCAGAGAAUAGUGCAUGUCAAAGAUCAUUCAAUUGUAUCCACAGUGUGUCAGCAACAAAGUCGGCUUUCUUUAGCCCUUCAGGCCAAAGUACCUUUUAUUUUCUUCCUUCUCUCCAGCGAUGUCUUCCACUCUCGUCAAAUCCUGGCUGCGGGAAGGACCGAAGGAUGGUGGGACCAAAGAGGAAGAGAGGAAAAUAAAAAGAAGAAGAAGGAGGAGGAGGUAACUCUUGAGCCCGCCCCCGUACGUGAUAACGAGCAGCUCGGCCGACCAAUGGGCGCUGUCUGUGUACUCCAGGAAGAUCAGGCCUGCCACUGCACAACUGAAAUCUCCGGGAAAACUCACCGACUGACAAGGAGAUUAAAAAAAAGGAGAGUCAACAACAGUGUGAAAGUUACCGAUGUAAAUUAUAGAGAAAAUCAAAAAAGUAAAGAAAUGUGUCUUUACUUACUAAUUAUCUAUCAGUUUGUGCCCUCACACAUUUUUUACAAGGACACACAACAAAGAUGUGUCACAUCAACGGCAAUUGUUAAAGAACAUAAAAAAGGCAGGGGAAAAAUAAGAUUAAGAAAGAAAAUGAUGCGACAGGGAAGGCAGGAGCUCAUGGGGGGAGUGUCAGCGCUCAUCAUCUCUGACAGGGUGGAUAGAGGAGCAGAAAAAAUGAUGGAUAGAAAUGGAGGAACGAUAAUAUUCAGCACACAGAGGACAUUCAAGUAAGAGGGGAUGGCAGAGCUACUCACAGACAGACAUGUGAGAAUAAGACAAAUGCUCGAGGAGGAUAGGAGAGGAGGAUCUAGGGAAGAAGAAUUAAAGAGAGAAGUUGAUGAAGAUGGAGAAUAAAAGAUUGGGACAGUAUGAGCAAAGAAGAAGAAAGAGAUGAGAAGAAGCAUCAGACACAUGAAAGAAAAAAGCAGGUGUGACAGACAAAGAGGACACAGAGAGACAUUUUCUUUUAAGAAAGGUGACAGGCAGCUCAAAGUGCCCAGUGAAAGUGUGCUUCAGUGAGAACAGAACACGGCCCGACCGCUCUCUGGAGCCCAGACUAUAGAUGUGUGAGAGCGCAUAACUAUGUCACUGUAGAGUUAAAUAUGAUGGUAGGAUAUCAAGCUGCAUUUAACCAAUUUAUAAUCUGAUUAUGCAUUUUUUGAAAGAACCAGAACCAGGUCAGUCAUUGUUUUUCCAAAGAACAAAUAAGUGGUAAAUCUGGACUGAAACUAAUGUUAUUUUUUCAAUUAUGGAUUAAUGGGACAAUUAUUUUCUAGAUACAUUUAGAUUUAGAUGAAAUUAUAUAGUAGUACAUGAGUAUUUGCCUGCUGCAUUUCAUUUGCUGACAAUAAAGUUUUAUCUCACAAAA